ensembl:lncRNA
CACACACACACACACACACACCAAUGGUAGCAGAGCUGCCAUGCGAGGCUCUAACUUUGCCAUCGGGAGCAAUUUGGGGCUCGGUGUCUCGCCCAAGGACACUUCAGCAUGUGGAGUCACGUGGGCCGGGAAUCGAACCUCCAACUCUAUGAUUAGUGGACAACCCGCUCUACCACCUGAUCCACAGCCGCACGAUAGUGGCUCUGUUUGUCUGUAUUGUUGAAUGUUUGUACAGUUGUUUCUAUUUAUUCAUUCAUUUCUGUCGUUAUUUUCUAGUGUGUCUGUACCCAAGCUUUAGCGAUACAAAUGUUAAUAUUUGUCAUUCCAGUAAAGCAACCUUUUGACUUUGACAGUAAGAGAUGGGGGGAGGAAGAGAGAGAGAGAGAGAGAGAGAGAGAGAGAGAGAGAUUUAAAGGAGGUGUGGUGUACUCCGUCACUCAGAGGCGUGUCUCUGAACUCUAAGGAUCAAAGGAAAUGAAAUAUUUCUUUAAUCUGAGCGCGCGCGCACACACACACGCACACACUACCUGUCUCGCGCGCGGUCUCUCUCGCUCUCUCACAGACGGAUUUAUUUAUUUGAGUAUUUAUGAUUUUUAUUGGAUGUACAGUUACAGUACAGACUUUCUGAGCAGAACUCGCACAGGAGGAGCCCCACAGAGCCAGGAGAGUCCCACAGGAGGAGUCCCACAGGAGGAGUCCCAGGAGUCCGGAUCCCGGAGUACAGCAGCGGGGUUGGUAUGAGACGGUGAAGAGCGUGCGCAGGAAUUUCAGCCUUCACUGAUUUCAAGUCCUGACGAGUGUGUGAGUAUAUAACUCUCUCAGCUCCUCUUCACUCUCCACACACCACACCACUGACACAGAAACAUUCAACACAGCAUCAGGUCCUAAACCUAAAAAUGAACACGUGUGUACGUGUGUGUGUGUGUGUGUGUGUGUGUUCCUCAGUGAGUGGCACAGAUUGAACAGUAAUCAGAGUUCGGCUUACACCUGCGUAUUUACCUACAUCACACUGUAGACGCACACACACACACACACACACACACACACACACACAAGAAUGUCACACAGGGUUUGUUUUUGUUUUGUAAUUUACAACCUCUUAAAUGUGUACAAUGUAAAUGUUUUACACGAGGGGUACCGAGAAAAAAAUUCAAGUCUGGGGGAAAAAAAGAAAGACAAAAGAAGAAAGAAAGAAGAGCAGUAGUUUAAUAUACAAAGGAAAGAGGGAGUAGAGAAAGACAGGAAAGAACGAAAGAAAGAAAAGAAAGAAGAGCAGUAGUUUAAUAUAAAAAAGAAAGAGGGGGUAGAGAAAGAAAGAAAAGAAAGAAAGAAAGAAAGAAAGAAAGAAGAAAAGAAAGAAGAGCAGUAGUUUAAUAUAAACAAAGAAAGAGGGAGUAGAGAAAGAAAGAAAGAAAGAAAGAAAGAAAGAAAGAAAGAAAGAAGAAAGAAGAGCAGUAGUUUAAUAUAAAAAAGAAAGAGCGAGUAGAGAAAGACAGAAAGAACGAAAGAACUAACAGCAGGACAACAGAAAAUGACAGAGGGACAGAAUGACGGAAAGAAAAAGAGGGUAGAUGAAAGGAAAAGGAAGAAAGGGAAGAAAAUAUGUGAUAAUAAAUGUUUGAUUCUCAGCAUGUUGUAAAUCUCUCACAUCCGCUCACUUUUUUUCGUUUGCUUUCUGUUUGAAAGAAACUCCUGACGUCACUUUUUCAAGUAGCCCCGCCCCCCCCCCACUGCUCCCCCCCCACUGCUCCCCCCCCCCACUGCUCCCCCAGUAGAAACCCACGCUGUGACUCAGAAGCCGCGCCUUUAAAAAGCAUCCCAUAAAACAAGACGUGUAAACCGUGCUGGAAACUACAGAGCUCACAGUGCUGUAACACACACACACACACACACACACACACACACACACACACACACAGACAGGUAGACCACAGGGUGUGGUAAGAUACACUUCUGAUAAUAAACCCUUAUUACAGGGGCUUUAUGCUCGCUCUUUAUAAGCAACCUGUAGCUUCCCCUCCGAAAGUACUGGAACGGCAAGGCUAAUCCUUCUGUUUUGGGAUGGAAAGAUUAAUAUGAGACAAAAAGAUCAAAUUUCAUAUCCUGUAUAUAAACAAACAACUUCGAACGUGGCAACCUCGGUGGACGACCACCCACCCGACUUGUUUUUGGUGAGCAAAAAUACUGGAACAUGUGACUGCCCGGUGUUUCCUGUAGCCUCAGGUGAGCCCUGUUAGAUUGAUCGUUUGAACGGUUAAUAGCUCUGAACGUCUACUCUUGCUUUGAGCUCUGGGGUUCACCUGUGAAGAUGGCAUUUGUUGUUAAAAAGGGUAAACCAACAUGAAGACCAGAGAGCCGUCUAUGGGAGAAAAGCGAGCCAUUUCGAAGCCUUUCAGAGGGGACUGCAAGUCAGGGUUAUAAUCUUAUUAUACUGCAUGUGCUGCGUGUCUAGAACACUUGAAGAUCAUCUCUCUCUCUAUAUAUAUAUAUAUAUAUUAAAUGAACACAACAGGCCUCAUUUAUCAAGCAGGAUAUGAACGGAUUUCUUCGUAAACAGUUCGUAUAAACGUUCACGCAAGAUCUUUAGCAGGAUCUCAUGCUAGUUCUUUAGGUCAGGGAGCUAAAAGAGUACCAUUGAGAAUAUUUAUCAAUUAAAGAAGAUAAAAAUGUAUUUAUUUUUUGCUAAAUCGAGCCAACAUAGACCCAUGAAUUAAGAAAACUACAAUGAAUCAGUGGCGUAUACACGGACGACGGGCCGUAAACAGACGCCUCCGCUGACAAAAGAUCGAGCGCUCAUUUAUUAUUAUCUUGAGCUUUGAUGGAGUUUUGUGGGCGUCGCUGCAAACGCGCAUGCAAAUGAGCCGUGUAGGUCAUGUGGAGCGUCCGCCAUACAACGAGUUACGAUGGAAAACGUAACACUAUCACACACACACACACACACACACACACCGACGUCCGGGUCAUAGAAGAGUAAAAUCAACGCCUUCUGAAGCAACAUAAUUCCGUAUAUAAAGUGUGUGAGAUGUUUGCUCGUCCAAGUCAAAGUCCAAGUCUUUCACGUUAACCCGAACCCCAGGAUUUCAGCACUCCUUCUUUUCAUCACCGCUUCCGAGCCCGUCGGACCGGGCGUCCUGCAGAUCCAGUUUGCAGCUGGUUCAAUCCAGAGACUCUCACACAACACUGCACCCCUGAGCAAGAAUAAUAGCUGCUCCCUCAAACACACCUGACAGGAUUCACCUGUGACGUGGAGGGACAGAUAAGGGGGGGACUGAGAGAGAGAGAGGUGGAGAGAGAGAGAAAGAGAGAGAGAGAGGUGAAGAGAAAGAGAUAAACAAACACAGAGAGAGAGAGAGAGAGAGAGAGAGAGAGAGAGAGAGGUGACGAGAAAGAGAUAAACAACACAGAGAGAGAGAGAGAGAGAGAGAGGUGGAGAGAAAGAGAUAAACAAACACAGAGAGAGAGAGAGAGAGAGUUGAAGAGAAAGAGAUAAAAACACAGAAGGAGAGAGAAUGAGAGAAAGA